rnacentral:rRNA from 1 species
AGUGAACGCUGGCGGUAGGCCUAACGCAUGCAAGUCGAACGGCAGCACAGUAAGAGCUUGCUCUUACGGGUGGCGAGUGGCGGACGGGUGAGGAAUACAUCGGAAUCUACUUUUUCGUGGGGGAUAACGUAGGGAAACUUACGCUAAUACCGCAUACGACCUACGGGUGAAAGCAGGGGAUCUUCGGACCUUGCGCGAUUGAAUGAGCCGAUGUCGGAUUAGCUAGUUGGCGGGGUAAAGGCCCACCAAGGCGACGAUCCGUAGCUGGUCUGAGAGGAUGAUCAGCCACACUGGAACUUAGACACGGUCCCGACUCCUACGGGAGGGAGCAGUGGGGAAUAUUGGACCAUGGGGGCAAACCUUGUCCAGCCAUACCGCGUGGGUGAAGAAGGCCUUCGGGUUGUAAAGCCCCUUUGUUGGGAAAGAAAAGCAGCAGGUUAAUACCCCGCUGUUCUGACGGUACCCAAAGAAUAAGCACCGGCUAACUUCGUG